UUUCUAUUCAUCUUACAGGAAAGAAUAUUACCGCAUCAAUAAGGAUUUCAAAUCCUUUAAAAGGCUAAAAACCAAAGUAAAAACCAAAAAUAAAAAUUAUGUCGGCACAGAUGGUGUAUGUAGUAAAACCGGAUAAGUGUUCUCUACACCAGUUCGAUCUUCGUGGGAGGCAGCGCAGCGCGUAAAGAUAAACAUCCAUACGCAAGAAUAACAUCUUUCAGGUCCCUCUAAUCACAACACUUGGAGGAUACCUCGUAUAUAAGCGAGGAACACGAAAUGCAGAGGUAUCUCGACGCGAAACGUGUAUCAACGGCGAGAUAAAUGGAUAUUACAUACAUUUUAGAUGGAGGCACAUAUGAAACUUGCGAUACGACGCUAUACUUACCUUAACGAACAAGUUCGGAUAGGUUUACCUUAUCGCAGCAGUAACUUAUGAUUAUCCCGUGUUCCGAACAAGUUUAGUACAAAUUAACCUCUACCGAUCUACAUGAAGUAAAACGGAUAACGGUUGCCCGUCACGGAGUUGUAACAAUGUUAUGUUAUACAGCGUAUCUAAGCCUUAUUCUUUGUUAUAACGUUAAAGUCACAAUCGCCCACGCGACGAAUAGUAUCGCGUUUAUUUUCGACCGAUUUCUACAAAAAGUUAUACAAAAUAUGACACGGUAUCUGCUUACAAUAUGCGAUUAGAGCGUGUUAUCACUCAUAAAACUACGUCUAUGUUUAUUGCCAGUUGGGGGAUAUAUUGGUAGGAAUAUCUGUCGUAAUAAACUGCAGAAUGUCUAUAAAAUACAUGUCGUCUACGUAUAAACGAUAUCGGCGAAGACACGAUUAAGUGAAUAAAUAAAUCUGCAUAUACACUAUUCCAACACACUGUAUGAUAGUUUGUGAUUCAAAGUUAGAAAAAAUCUAUUUAAUCAGAGUGAUAAAAUCGUAGCUAAUAUGGGCAGUCUCAGCUAAAAAGUUUCUAAUUCUAAUAUGUUUCCAUAGCACAUCAUGAACGUUUAAUCGCUCCGAAAGGUAACAAUUGUGCCAAUCAACGAUACUUGUUAAUUCAUUUGCAGCUCACAGUAGUUUAUAUCAAUCGCAUACAUUUUAUAUAUAGAGUGUUAAAGAUAUUUCUAUAUAUUGAAAACCCUUAAGGAAAUAUAUAAGUACUAUUAUAAAAAAUUGCUUAAAUAUUUUUAUGGAAUAAAGUAUGUAUCUACCCGCGAUUUUUAAUAAAUAUAUGUAAAGAUGGCUAAAAAACAAUAACAACUAUUGUCAAAUACGAAAUUAUGAUAAACCUAUGUAAAGAUACGAUAUAUACGUAUAUAUUUGGAAUAAUUUUUCAAAUAUAUAAUCGGAAUGAUAUAAUAUAUCGAUGUAUGAUUCCAGAUAAAGGAAAAUAAUUUAGCAAGAUGCUUAAACACAUUAAAAAAUUAUUUUUAUGCCAAUAUAUAAUCUAUUAACAUUCAUAAAAUCCGUAAAAUGUAUAUCAAGUUUUGUUGAAAGGCAUAAAUAGGAAAAAAGUUUUUCAAAUUACGUUACAUUUUCCGUACUACGUCCAAAAAAUAUAUUUUUACAGGAUGAUUGUCAAGUAAGCUUAUUGGUAAUGAGCAUUAGAUAAGAUAAAAUAUGAUAUGAUAAUAGAUAAGAGAGAUAUGAAAUUAUCCCUUCGCGGCCCAAAUUACUUUCCACAAAUGAGCGAGUAUUAAGUUGCGUGCUCAGUUUAAUCAUAUUUCGUGGGUCAAUUAUUAUUA